rnacentral:snRNA from 1 species
GCAUGUGAGGGCCAUCUGGCUGUGACAUUCGGUGAUCUGGCUGGCCAGGCAGGUGUCCCCCUCCUCCCUCAACGCUCCAUGUGCGUCCCUCCCGAAGCGCACGCUCGGUUGAACAGUAGGACCACCCCAGACAGAGGAGGACCGCUCCUCGGUAAAGGGUAUAGGAGUAGCUGCGAUCCCCUGUCUAACCUCCAAAGAAACUCUCAAGAGACAAAGCUGGUGACGACUGGAUGAUGGAGGCAUUGGUUUCAUCAACUACUGAUUUCCGCCCCUGAGU